AAUCUAAAGGGGUGCACGCCAAAAGAUUAUAUCAUCGGACUAUGCCAUUGAUCCGAGUACACAUGGAGAGGAUGAGCCUUGGUAUCGCGGUUACUUUCCUCCUUGACAAGAUGGAUUACCAAGAUUCGAGUCAUAGAAACAGUGUUUCUGCUUAUAAGGAAUGGGGUCUACGCCAACAGACAUCUCAGUGUUGCCCAACAUACAUGUGUGUGCUUUUGGUAAAGUGUUAGUCCCUUAUGCAUAGAAUAUUAUGAUAUGUUCAGCAUGGGGCCGCAUGACAGUCCGUGAUGCAAGUGUUGAGUUACCUAGCAGUUAUAGGUUGUUCAGAGUUACCUAUCUUUAAUUCCCUCAUUUCCUUGUUUUUUGAAAAAUUGAUUGGAUAUUCAGUCAGAUUUAUAUUUGGCUUAAUGGUUUUCUUAUGUAGGUGGGAUUUGUGGAUACUGGAUCACAUUCUUUCUCUAGUAACAAGAUAAUUAUUGCAGGCCACCAUGUCAUCUGAUAGAACAGACCUUGGCUUCAUUGCCAUCUCAUACUCGAGAUUUCCUCUGGUUGCUUCUCCAGAGAAGCUCUACAAAAUCUUCGAAAGGUGUCAGAAAAAGCUUCUUUGCUAAUCACAGGUGCUUAUUAAUGUUAAGACAGAUUACAAUUCUUGCGUGAACAAGAUGAGUUCUUGCAUUUUGUAUGCUGCUGUGUCGAGAUUGUAUGUGGUACAUGCUGCUCAUUUGCAUUUGGUGUUGUUUUCAGGUUUUCGACAUAUUAAAGAGUAACCGCUUGUCGGUGUGAUGAAAGACCUCCUUUUAUAGGUUGUCAUUUAAGCACUGCUAUAAAUAUAUACAUAUUUCAUCAUGUGAGCGGUGUGAUUUUAAUCCUUUGUUUCUGUUCUCGUGUCGCUGUAGCAGCUAUUAAUCCCUUCAGACGUUGACCAAUAAUGAGGUCUUGUUGCCCACUAUGUUUCGUGCCAUAAAUCGUGUCCUUAAGUAAUAUGUCGA